rnacentral:rRNA from 1 species
AUUGAACUGAAGAGUUUGAUCAUGGCUCAGAUUGAACGCUGGCGGCAGGCCUAACACAUGCAAGUCGAGCGGAUGAAGGGAGCUUGCUUCCUGAUUCAGCGGCGGACGGGUGAGUAAUGCCUAGGA